AGUUUGACAGAGAAAGAAAUAAGUAGAAUCUUUAUUGGACAGUUUAGAGAUAAGAUGUUUGGUGAAAAUCUUACAAGAUAAAGCUUUGAAGCUAUUCUGGAGUUGAACCGCAUUCGGCGUUAUCGAAGAAUUAAGGGAUCAAGAAAGAAUUCUUGGUAACUAGGAUGGUACCGCGUAUUUUACGUUCCUAGA
rnacentral:ncRNA from 1 species